GUUACUUUUCACUGAACACGUACUGCUCGGACUGCGAGUGUUUUUUUUUUUUUUUUUUCUAAGUUCUAUCAUCGCUACACCGGAAAACGCAAGAGUUCGACUGUGUGUGCAUCACGAGUUGGUUUUGCUUCCCAAAUUUCUUGUCUGGCAAGAGGGAAGCACAGAAGAGGAAGGGGAAGAUGAUGAAACGUGAAGAAUCGCAAGAGGAGGAAGAGGGCGAUGAGCCGAAGACGAGGACGAGGAGUCGUGAAGAGUCGCAAGAGGAAUAAGAGCUGCUGCUAAUGGACAGUCUUGUGCAGAGGGGAAGCACAGCGAAGAGGAAGAUGAAGAGCAUUAAAAGUUAAGUGUCGCAAGAGGAGGAAGUGGACGACGACGAGGAGGGCGAGGAAAAGUGAAGGGUCGCAAGAGAGAGAAGAGGGCAAGGAGUAGUGAUGAGUCGGAAGAGGAAGAGGAGCUGAUGAGCGGGUGUGUGUGAUUUCCUAUGUGGUAUUUACAAUUUAGUAAGUGGUUGCAUUGCGAGUUGUCCAGCCUCGGUCAGCGCGUGUAGUCACUGGCCUAGGAGGGAAAGGGAGACGUGGGGCCCGACCGGCCGACUGUGUGCUGCAGCUGCUGCCUGCUAGCGCCGCCGCCGCCGCUGUCAGAGUGAGCAGACGUCAAGUAGGAAGGUGUGGCGUUUGAAAAGCAUCCGUGUACAGUUGCCUUAUUUAACCUGUGGACUUUUAACAACAAGACAGUGACACGAGCCAUGAUUGCCUUUUGUGUGCUGGUGUAGGCUUUGGUGCUUGCCGGAAGUCUUGCAGCGGCUUAUGAAGGCCAGGAAGACUCAUAUUUAAUGGUAAGUGACCCAGCAAAACCUGUCGGCGUACUGAUGAGACAUGUUGUUCAGGUCCUUCAAUGGAAACUUUUUGAGUUUAUUUUGCCGUCUCCCUGCUUCAUCCUAUGGUUGUCCAAGUAAGGUCUCAGAGCCAUAGCCAAGUCAAAGGGUGGUAAGGAUAAAAAAGAAAAAAUAAAUUAUCAACAGGCUUCCCUCAUGGAGGCCUUAAAUGUAGAUAACCCAGACCUGCUUAGCGCUUCUAAUUCUCACCAAGCUACUGGUCCUACACUAGUUUCCCGUAACUUAGAUAAAGUUGAUAAAGUGCUACCUGAGGAUUAACUAUAUAGAAUGAGAGGGAGGAAAAGGUUAAGAUGAUUUAGUCCCAUGUGAGCGAAUUAGCAUAUAUUAAAUACCUGGUGUACUACUACUUGUCUUCAGAAAAUCGUUAGUAAAGACGUGUCAUUUUGAUGCAGAGUUGGUUUGCUAGCCAGCAAGCCAACAUCGUGUCUGCAAAGCUAGUUAGUGUUCGUCACCUUGCCUCGCCUCGCCGCAGGGCCUGACGGCAACAAAUGUCAAGUGGUGGAUGUGUUGCUCCUACCUGAUGUGUCUUGUAAGCCACAUGAACAGCCACCCAUCUUCAAUUGUAAUAAUUACCUUGGAAUGGAUGGUCGGGAGAGAAGCAGCUUGAGAAGGCAGCCAGUGUGGUAGUAUUCUUCCACAACCAGAUACCCAAACUGAACCGCGACUCAAACUCACGAACCAAGUUGCUCUGGUGAAAGAAACGAGGAUUGGCAGGAUGACGAGUAGAACAUGUAUAAUUAAGUGGUUAGGUACACUGAUAAACAGAUGAGUGAAAAGUGAGAAGGCCUUAGAACAUUAGAAAGAUAGAUUAGGAGGAAGAGGGUUAGAAAGGGAAUAAAGGUUAGGAGACUAGGAUAAAGCCACAUAAAAAGAUAGACAUAUGAUGAGUAGGGUGAGAAAGAUGAGGAAUUAGUGGUAUGCAUUAAAGGCAGAUAUAGUUAAUAAGUAGAGAUAGAUAGGAGGAGAAAGAAGCAGCGAAGGAGAAAAUUGAUGUUUAGAUUAAGUGCGUAAAUAAAAAGA